rnacentral:rRNA from 1 species
ACACACUAUAAAGUAACAGAAUGUAAUCGCGUCUAACGCAUCUUAAUACAACUUUCAGCAACGGAUCUCUUGGCUCUCGCAUCGAUGAAGAACGCAGCGAAAUGCGAUAAGUAAUGUGAAUUGCAGAAUUCAGUGAAUCAUCGAAUCUUUGAACGCACCUUGCGCUCCUUGGUAUUCCGAGGAGCAUGCCUGUUUGAGUGUCAUGGUAUUCUCAACCCACACAUCCUUGUGAUGCUUGUGAGGCUUGGACUUGGAGGCUUGCUGGCCCGUCGCGGUCGGCUCCUCUUGAAUGCAUUAGCUUGGUUCCUUGCGGAUCGGCUCUCAGUGUGAUAAUUGUCUACGCUGUGACCGUGAAGCGUUUGGCGAGCUUCUAACCGUCCUGCUAGGGACAACUUACUUGACAUCUGACCUCAAAUCAGGUA